rnacentral:lncRNA from 1 species
CUUUUCUUUUGUGUUUUCAUUCUUUUCUUUUUCCCUCAUUUGAUCCAUAGAAUUUUUCAACUUGAUUUGAUCUUCGUAAACUUGUUUUGGUGUCAACGGGGCUAAAGUCACAUUUCGACCCAUGUGCUUGAAUGCAUAAUGGUUGGAGUAGCCAUCAUGGAUAACUCGACGAUCAAAUUGCCACGGGCGUCCAAGUAACAAGUGGCCCACGUGCAUAGGGACUACAAC